rnacentral:rRNA from 1 species
GGUUGACCUCGGAUCAGGUAGGAAUACCCGCUGAACUUAAGCAUAUCAAUAAGCGGAGGAAAAGAAACCAACAGGGAUUGCCCUAGUAACGGCGAGUGAAGCGGCAACAGCUCAAAUUUGAAAUCUGGCCCUCGGGUCCGAAUUGUAAUUUGUAGAGGAUGCUUUUGGUGAGGUACCUUCCGAGUUCCCUGGAACGGGACGCCAUAGAGGGUGAGAGCCCCGUCUGGUUGGAUACCGAUCCUCUGUAAAGCUCCUUCGACGAGUCGAGUAGUUUGGGAAUGCUGCUCUAAAUGGGAGGUAUAUGUCUUCUAAAGCUAAAUAUUGGCCAGAGACCGAUAGCGCACAAGUAGAGUGAUCGAAAGAUGAAAAGCACUUUGAAAAGAGAGUUAAAAAGUACGUGAAAUUGUUGAAAGGGAAGCGCUCAUGACCAGACUUGGGCUUGGUUGAUCAUCCAGGGUUCUCCCUGGUGCACUCUUCCAGCCCAGGCCAGCAUCAGUUCGCUGUGGGGGAUAAAGGCUUUGGGAAUGUGGCUCCUCCGGGAGUGUUAUAGCCCAUUGUGUAAUACCCUGUGGUGGACUGAGGUUCGCGCAUCUGCAAGGAUGCUGGCGUAAUGGUCAUCAGCGACCCG